CCCCUUCUUGUGUGCUUCGACAAUCACUAUUCUUGGGACUCAACAUACAACAGGACACUAUCUUGUGGUCUCCAGAGACGAGUACAACCUGCGCUAUGGGAAACCGGUACACAUCUUUGUGGAAACUGGCCCUGAGACGUUUCUGAAGAUCAGGAGUAGAGAUCACAAAACGAAAAACUUUGUGUCAGUAACAUGUCUUGAGGAGCUAAUCAGAGUUGCUGUGGGUCAUGGAAUUUGUCAGGAGGGCAACAUACAGGUGUAUUUAAUGGAUGAGUUAUCACUUCGCUCUAUGGUUGCUGGUGCUGAGAAAUGCCUCGAUGACAUUUUCAUUGUUAAAAAUGGACU